UUCAGAAAUAUGAUAGUGGUGUUUAAAUGUGGGUUUUGAGGAUGGAAAAAUCGUUGUGGUACUUCGUUGUGUUUUCCCAAUUUAAGACUGUCAGAUAGGGACACUUGGACAAAAUGGAUUUGUAAGUUUGCAUUGAAGGGUAGCUUGAUUUGACUGUGAGAGGCGGGUGUUUGUUGACUGGGUGGUAGAAAACAACUAUUUUCAUCUGAAAUGCGGUUCUCAUUAAAACUUUCAGCUGGAGAGGGUUGGUACCUUAUGAAGCCGCCACACCUGGACACACAAGAAUGCAUGGGUGGUUCUUUCUCAGGAAGAUGAUGAAUAGGAACUUCUAUUUUGUUGGAGCUACCGUUGCCUUUCAAGAGCUGGACACGCACAAACAGAGAAUUUGAAGCAGAUGGCUGGUGUAGGGGUUCUUUAAUUCGGAUAGGUGGGAGAGUAGCUGGACAUUUAAAAACAUGCGAAACUGGUUUGACAAGAAUCCCCGUUGAGUCUCCAUACCUUAGGAUUUUUUCCUACUCCUGUCCAUCAACUCUAAGCCAUUGGCAGUAUGGAAGCUCGGUUACCAUGCCAAAAUUAAUGGGGCAAGCUUGAUGAGUGUUUUCCAGACACCCACAUAGGGAGCAAAACUCUUAGAGUCUUUCAUAUUUGAAUGAUAUUUUUGCUAGACUUCUUUGUAUCCUUGGUAAAGAAAAACCAUCUGGAAUUGGUUUUGUAGUGUCUAUUUCCACUCUAAUCCUCAGGAACUCUUUUGCAGCGAUGGUGGAGGUUAUUAUGGGAUCAAUUUCGAGUAGGGCUAUUCAUUUGAGUUUUGACCUGAGAACCCGGAUGUUUCUGAACCGGGUUAGCCCGGGUCAAACCUGAUUCGGAACCCAGAUUAAUCAAGAUUUUUAAAAACCCAAAUUCUGGGUUUUGGGUUUGAACCCAGUUCCCUCUCUUCUUCUGCUUCUUCUUCUUCUUCUUCUAUUUUAAUAAUUAGUUAGUACGAUUUGAUCAUCUUGUUGCCCAAAAGUACUCGUUGCAUUUACAUUUUAAACAAGGGUGUAGAAGUAAAGUUACAUUUACAUUGACACCAAAGGAACUACUUUCACUGCCAAAAACCAGCAGUCAUCCAACUUGAUUAAGUUAUGAGUACAAACUCCAUGAUAUAAAUGUUAAAGAAUUGGUUACUAGCUAAUUGGCUAGCAAAUGAUCAAGUUGCUGGUAGAGUAUGCAUUUCCACUA